rnacentral:rRNA from 1 species
UAGGGAAUCUUCCACAAUGGACGAAAGUCUGAUGGAGCAAUACCGCGUGAGUGAAGAAGGUUUUCGGAUCGUAAAGCUCUGUUGUAAGGGAAGAACACGUACAGGAGUAACUGCCUGUACCUUGACGGUACCUUACCAGAAAGCCACGGCUAACUACGUGCCAGCAGCCGCGGUAAUACGUAGGUGGCAAGCGUUGUCCGGAAUUAUUGGGCGUAAAGCGCGCGCAGGCGGUCCUUUAAGUCUGAUGUGAAAUCCCAAGGCUCAACCUUGGACGGUCAUUGGAAACUGGAGGACUUGAGUACAGAAGAGGAAAGCGGAAUUCCACGUGUAGCGGUGAAAUGCGUAGAGAUGUGGAGGAACACCAGUGGCGAAGGCGGCUUUCUGGUCUGUAACUGACGCUGAGGCGCGAAAGCGUGGGGAGCAAACA